GACGUCACAAUGAAGGCUGCGAAGAUUUUGCUCUUUGCUUUCUUAGCAAACGUUCGUGGACAAUAUAUAGAACUGAACUCUUUUACUUUGGGUGAGUACUUCGGUGAGACGUCACAAUGAAGGCUGCGAAGAUUUUGCUCUUUGCUUUCUUAGCAAACGUUCGUGGACAAUAUAUAGAACUGAACUCUUUUACUUUGGGUGUGCUUGCGCCGGAAGUGGCGUCCCAGCUUGAGAUUUUGAUUCAAAACGACUUUGUUGCGGUGAACAAGACGAUAAGUAAUCUAAACGACCAGUUCAAAGUAUGCACUGACCUGGUCUCAAGAAGACAUGAGCAAUGUGGGAAUUGCAUCAACGAAAAUUGCCAGAUCAAGGCCCAUGAAUGCUCCGUGCAUGUAGACAUGAAGAAAUUGCCAUGCCAAGCCUCUCCUACGGCUUGUAAGGUUAUAAAUGUGGUGAAGAAGGCUGCAGAACUUGUGAAGAAAACUGGAGACAAAAUCAAAAAUGG